AUACGUAGGGGGCGAGCGUUGUCCGGAAUGAUUGGGCGUAAAGGGCGCGUAGGCGGCCCGGUAAGUCUGGAGUGAAAGUCCUGUUUUUAAGAUGGGAAUUGCUUUGGAUACUGUCGGGCUUGAGUGCAGGAGAGGUCAGUGGAAUUCCCAGUGUAGCGGUGAAAUGCGUAGAGAUUGGGAGGAACACCAGUGGCGAAGGCGGCUUACUGGACUGUAACUGACGCUGAGGCGCGAAAGUGUGGGGAGCAAACAGGAUUAGAUACCCUGGUAGUCCACACCGUAACCGAUGAAUGCUAGGUGUAGGGGGUAUCGACCCCUUCUGUGCCGCAGUCAACACAAUAAGCAUUCCGCCUGGGGAGUACGGCCGCAAGGUUGAAACUCAAAGGAAUUGACGGGG
rnacentral:rRNA from 1 species